GGGGGGAUUGGUUAUAAGGGCCAGAUUCAGCAAGAUUUAAGAUUUGAAAAGAGCCUAAUAGAAGCGAGCUAUCUUACCAAUCAAGGACAGUCUUCUGCAAAACUCCAUGAUCUUUAAGUUUGUGGAAGAUGAUUUCAUAACUUGUGAAUAGUCCAAGAAGCUUGCAGUAGAUUCUCUUGGUCCAAAAACAGUAGAAGUCCCUUCAUACUAGUUGGCACGCUGUACUCGACACCCAGAAUCGGGCCCUUAUCCUAUCAAGCACAGGUCACUUCAUGUUCUGAUUCUUUUGAACGCUUGACCCAUCCUAAAGCAGUAAAGUGAUCACAGUGUGGUUCAUUCUUAUCAAAAGCAUGCUGCUGAAACUGUGAUCUUAUCUCUAAAAGCAUCAUUAUAUGCACUAAACAAUGAUAAGAAUCUCCACUAAGAAUCCAUGAAGUGAAAGGCGUAGAGCAACCUCCCUCCGUUCUUUCUUAACAUCCAAGUAAGAAAAGAUCUGCGCACAGGGCACUCGAAAAUUUAAAAUCCUGUUCAGAAUGCUCUGGGCCAGGAAAGGGGAAGCAUCGUUACAACACCCUACAAAACUAGGAAAGGUGGACCCUUUUUUUGAAAAAAAGAAAAACGAAACCACAUUACCAAGGCAGUCCAAUCUCCAAGCUCAAAACAAU
rnacentral:lncRNA from 1 species